GGUUAAUGUUCAUAACUAUUAUAUAAAGGGAAUUACAAUAAUGUCAGGAUUUCUUCGAAUUCGAUGGAACGGGAUUAUAACUUUCCAAGCAAACAUCGGACAUCGGAUGAGAACAUCAUGAGAGACCCAGAAAGAUUUGCCUGGAGCUGAACGACCAAGUUUUGGUAAUGAUGGGGUUCCGAAAGCGAGAAUUUUCAAGACAUCUUCAUGAACAAGAAAAAC